rnacentral:rRNA from 1 species
CACUAUCGUUAACUGAAUACAUAGGUUAACGAGGCGAACCGGGGGAACUGAAACAUCUAAGUACCCCGAGGAAAAGAAAUCAACCGAGAUUCCCCCAGUAGCGGCGAGCGAACGGGGAGCAGCCCAGAGUCUGAAUCAGCUUGUGUGUUAGUGGAACGGUCUGGAAAGUCCGACGGUACAGGGUGAUAGUCCCGUACACCAAAAUGCACAGGCUGUGAACUCGAAGAGUAGGGCGGGACACGUGGUAUCCUGUCUGAAUAUGGGGGGACCAUCCUCCAAGGCUAAAUACUCCUGACUGACCGAUAGUGAACCAGUACCGUGAGGGAAAGGCGAAAAGAACCCCGGCGAGGGGAGUGAAAAAGAACCUGAAACCGUGUACGUACAAGCAGUGGGAGCACCUUUAUGGUGUGACUGCGUACCUUUUGUAUAAUGGGUCAGCGACUUAUAUUCUGUAGCAAGGUUAACCGUAUAGGGGAGCCGCAGGGAAACCGAGUCUUAACUGGGCGUUAAGUUGCAGGGUAUAGACCCGAAACCCGGUGAUCUAGCCAUGGGCAGGUUGAAGGUUGGGUAACACUAACUGGAGGACCGAACCGACUAAUGUUGAAAAAUUAGCGGAUGACUUGUGGCUGGGGGUGAAAGGCCAAUCAAACCGGGAGAUAGCUGGUUCUCCCCGAAAGCUAUUUAGGUAGCGCCUCGUGAACUCAUCUUCGGGGGUAGAGCACUGUUUCGGCUAGGGGGUCAUCCCGACUUACCAACCCGAUGCAAACUACGAAUACCGAAGAAUGUUAUCACGGGAGACACACGGCGGGUGCUAACGUCCGUCGUGAAGAGGGAAACAACCCAGACCGCCAGCUAAGGUCCCAAAGUCAUGGUUAAGUGGGAAACGAUGUGGGAAGGCACAGACAGCCAGGAUGUUGGCUUAGAAGCAGCCAUCAUUUAAAGAAAGCGUAAUAGCUCACUGGUCGAGUCGGCCUGCGCGGAAGAUGUAACGGGGCUAAACCAUGCACCGAAGCUGCGGCAGCGACACUAUGUGUUGUUGGGUAGGGGAGCGUUCUGUAAGCCUGCGAAGGUGACCUGUGAGGGUUGCUGGAGGUAUCAGAAGUGCGAAUGCUGACAUAAGUAACGAUAAAGCGGGUGAAAAGCCCGCUCGCCGGAAGACCAAGGGUUCCUGUCCAACGUUAAUCGGGGCAGGGUGAGUCGACCCCUAAGGCGAGGCCGAAAGGCGUAGUCGAUGGGAAACAGGUUAAUAUUCCUGUACUUGGUGUUACUGCGAAGGGGGGACGGAGAAGGCUAUGUUAGCCGGGCGACGGUUGUCCCGGUUUAAGCAUGUAGGCUGAUUAUCCAGGCAAAUCCGGAUAAUCAAGGCUGAGGUGUGAUGACGAGGCACUACGGUGCUGAAGUAACAAAUGCCCUGCUUCCAGGAAAAGCCUCUAAGCAUCAGGUAACAUCAAAUCGUACCCCAAACCGACACAGGUGGUCAGGUAGAGAAUACCAAGGCGCUUGAGAGAACUCGGGUGAAGGAACUAGGCAAAAUGGUGCCGUAACUUCGGGAGAAGGCACGCUGGUGUGUAGGUGAAGUCCCUGCGGAUGGAGCUGAGACCAGUCGAAGAUACCAGCUGGCUGCAACUGUUUAUUAAAAACACAGCACUGUGCAAACACGAAAGUGGACGUAUACGGUGUGACGCCUGCCCGGUGCCGGAAGGUUAAUUGAUGGGGUUAUCCGUAAGGAGAAGCUCUUGAUCGAAGCCCCGGUAAACGGCGGCCGUAACUAUAACGGUCCUAAGGUAGCGAAAUUCCUUGUCGGGUAAGUUCCGACCUGCACGAAUGGCGUAAUGAUGGCCAGGCUGUCUCCACCCGAGACUCAGUGAAAUUGAACUCGCUGUGAAGAUGCAGUGUACCCGCGGCAAGACGGAAAGACCCCGUGAACCUUUACUAUAGCUUGACACUGAACAUUGAGCCUUGAUGUGUAGGAUAGGUGGGAGGCUUUGAAGCGUGGACGCCAGUCUGCGUGGAGCCAACCUUGAAAUACCACCCUUUAAUGUUUGAUGUUCUAACGUUGGCCCCUUAUCGGGGUUGCGGACAGUGUCUGGUGGGUAGUUUGACUGGGGCGGUCUCCUCCCAAAGCGUAACGGAGGAGCACGAAGGUUAGCUAAUCCUGGUCGGACAUCAGGAGGUUAGUGCAAUGGCAUAAGCUAGCUUGACUGCGAGCGUGACGGCGCGAGCAGGUGCGAAAGCAGGUCAUAGUGAUCCGGUGGUUCUGAAUGGAAGGGCCAUCGCUCAACGGAUAAAAGGUACUCCGGGGAUAACAGGCUGAUACCGCCCAAGAGUUCAUAUCGACGGCGGUGUUUGGCACCUCGAUGUCGGCUCAUCACAUCCUGGGGCUGAAGUAGGUCCCAAGGGUAUGGCUGUUCGCCAUUUAAAGUGGUACGCGAGCUGGGUUUAGAACGUCGUGAGACAGUUCGGUCCCUAUCUGCCGUGGGCGCUGGAGAAUUGAGGGGGGCUGCUCCUAGUACGAGAGGACCGGAGUGGACGCAUCACUGGUGUUCGGGUUGUCAUGCCAAUGGCACUGCCCGGUAGCUAAAUGCGGAAGAGAUAAGUGCUGAAAGCAUCUAAGCACGAAACUUGCCCCGAGAUGAGUUCUCCCUGAGACUUUAAGUCUCCUGAAGGAACGUUGAAGACGACGACGUUGAUAGGCCGGGUGUGUAAGCGCAGCGAUGCGUUGAGCUAACCGGUACUAAUGAACCGUGAGGCUUAACCUUACAACGCCGAAG